GUAUGAUUAGGUUUAUGUUUUGUAGUUAUCCCAUUGAUGCAUGCACUCAAGUCCCAAUACACUGUCCGAUUGAGCCAGCAUGUAAUGAACAUUUGGAGGAAAUUGUUGUCGGUGCCGUAUCCUCAAAUUUACCAACAUAUGUGUCAGGUCAUAAGGAUAUUUCUGAGAAUGACUCCACAUAAAGUAGCUUCACUGCGUAUGUUUUGAUUGUACCUAGUCUUUGCAUUAAUGUCGACCAGUUGGCGAAGCAUUAUAGUGUUGAUGUAUUUCUUGAGUGAUUGAGCUUUCAUCUUUAAUUUGAGUUAUUGCCUGAAAUGUUAAAUUUUGCUGCAGAGGUAGUACAUACCCGUAAUCUGAAUAGGUGUGCAAACUGUACCUGUUGUAGGCCAAGAAGCUGAAGAGGACUGCUAUGAAGGAAUUAGGUUUGAUGGUGCAGGGUAAGUUCUCUGAUGUGAAAGUUAAUAUGGGGAUGUUCAUGUUCAUGUUCAUGUUAUUAUUUGUGUUGAGCUGUAGGGUUUGAUCAGAUUAUGUUCAAUUUUAUUUGUGCAUACUGGGGCAGGGUUGAUGCAAAUUAUUGCACACCUACUAUGUGUGGAAAUAAUGGUCCAACUACAAAUGUUGCUUCUUCCUUUGUGCCAGAAGUUGGAGAUGAGGUGGAUUUCAUAAACAUACAGUCAGGCCAUUGGAAGAAGAGGAACCACACAAAUGCUAGUCCUGAUCAUAGGCCUCCAGAUCCAAGUCAUCAGAGUGCACAGUAGAAAGCUCUGAUGAAGUUUACUGACUGCACUACUAAUUAGAUUCUGCAAUCAGAACAGAAUUUGAUUCUAUUGAUGAAGGCUAUGAGUUACAACCUAUACUCUUGGGAGGUAGGGUUUGGUAUUUUCAGUGGCAAGAAGAGAUACUCAGAAAGCAAAAAGGGCUGGAAAAAGGAAGGAUCUGAACCUUAUCAGUUGGCACACGAGUUUUAUUGUUGCUGCAGGGGGCGUGUGUAGUCUUUGUGCUAGAAAAUAAAUCGUGAAUAGGCUGAGAGUGAUAUCAAGAAGACACUAAUGCUUUUCCAUGAACUACGAGAAGCUGACCCAGUAUUUGUCUAUAGCGUGGAGCCUCAUUUUGGACAUGUUAUAACAUUUGAUACCACCUACAAGACCAACCUUGGCUAUUCAAUGAAUUUGUGUCACUGAUGGGUGGGAAGCGGCCAUAGACAAUUCUGACCGUGUCGUGCAAUAGAGAUUGCAAUCCUUGAGGAGAGGCCUGGCAAUAAACAUCGAUGGUGCAAGUGGCAUGUUCUGCGUAUACUUAAAGUGUGUGUGGUUGCUAAGUACAUAAAGAAUAAAGAGUUCAAGGACAAAUUCCACAAAAAUGUUGAAUGAGAUGUUUGACUGUUGAGGAAUUUGAAUUUGCAUGGGGUUUGUUAGAACAUGGUCUCGAGAAGAAUCCCUUCUUAAAUCAAAUUUAUCAUGUU